UCCCUCUUAGCUCAGUUGGUAGAGCGCGUCACUAGUACCAAUCCUCAAUGACGAGGUCAGUCGUUCAAAUCGGCUAGCGGGAA